rnacentral:rRNA from 1 species
UGCAAGUCGAGCGAGAACCGGUCCUUCGGGACCGGGGAAAGCGGCGAACGGGUGAGUAACACGUGAGUAAUCCACCCUCGGCACUGGGAUAGCCCGGGGAAACCCGGAUUAAUACCGGAUGGCCCAACAGCUCUUCGGGGCGGUUGGAAAAGGUAGCUUUGGCCUCCGGCCGAGGACGAGCUCGCGGCGGAUUAGCUUGUUGGUGGGGUAACGGCCUACCAAGGCGACGAUCCGUAGCUGGUCUGAGAGGACGAUCAGCCACACUGGGACUGAGACACGGCCCAGACUCCUACGGGAGGCAGCAGUGGGGAAUCUUGCGCAAUGGGCGAAAGCCUGACGCAGCGACGCCGCGUGAGGGAAGAAGGCUUUCGGGUUGUAAACCUCUUUCAGGAGGGACGAAGCUACUCGGGUUAAUAGCCCAGAGGGUGACGGUACCUCCAGAAGAAGCCCCGGCUAACUACGUGCCAGCAGCCGCGGUAAUACGUAGGGGGCAAGCGUUGUCCGGAUUUAUUGGGCGUAAAGAGCGUGUAGGCGGCCAGACAGGUCCGUUGUGAAAACUCGAGGCUCAACCUCGAGACGCCGAUGGAAACCGUUUGGCUAGAGUCCGGAAGAGGAGAGUGGAAUUCCUGGUGUAGCGGUGAAAUGCGCAGAUAUCAGGAAGAACACCCGUGGCUAAGCGGCUCUCUAGUACGGUACUGACGCUGAGACGCGAAAGCGUGGGGAGCGAACAGGAUUAGAUACCCUGUAGUCCACGCCGUAAACGAUGGGUGCUAGUGUGGGGGGGUGUCGACUCCCUCCGUGCCGAAGCUAACGCAUUAAGCACCCCGCCUGGGGAGUACGGCCGCAAGGCUAAAACUCAAAGGAAUUGACGGGGGCCCGCACAAGCAGCGGA